GACAGCGUGGCUCAGUGGAAAGAGCACGGGCUUUGGAGUCAGAGGUCAUGGGUUCAAAUCCCAGCUCGGCCA
rnacentral:tRNA from 1 species